UACGGAGGGUGCAAGCGUUAUCCGGAUUCACUGGGGUUAAAGGGUGCGUAGGCGGGCAUGUAAGUCCGUGGUGAAAUCUCCGAGCUUAACUCGGAAACUGCCAUGGAUACUAUGUGUCUUGAAUGUUGUGGAGGUGAGCGGAAUAUGUCAUGUAGCGGUGAAAUGCUUAGAUAUGACAUAGAACACCAAUUGCGAAGGCAGCUCACUACACAAAUAUUGACGCUGAGGCACGAAAGCGUGGGGAGCAAACAGG
rnacentral:rRNA from 1 species